UAGAAGAGCUUCUUUGGUAAGAAUUCUUACCCUUUGUCCGCUUUGGCCAGUUUUCCCAGGAUCCCUUCCGCAGGCUCCGGAGGGAGCGCGAUGCCCCAGCGUUCUCGUCCUGGUCACCAGAUACUUUAGACGAGGAAAAAAUAAUUUUCCCUCCCCUCUCAACGGUGAGUGCUUGGCUGAGACGCCUUUUUCUGUAGGGCGCCUCAUAAAUGGAUAAGCUUAUCUACGAUGAAAGUUUACUGUGGCCACCGUAACUCAGGAUUAUCUUUUGUGAGGUUCACCUGCUCGUUCAGUCUUCAAACAAAAAUUCUCACCGGAGGCCUCACACGGGACCCCUUCCGGCCCUGGAGCCAGAGGGUUUUGAAAGCGGACACAGUCCAACCCUGAACUCAGUCCGGUUUCCAAGUCGGACCCAGUCCACGCCGAACUGAGUCCCCUUUCCAAGCUGGACCCAGUCCUUCCCUGGACCCAGUUCAGUUUCCAAGUCGGACCGGGUCUGACGUGGGACCCAGUCAGGUUUCCAAACCGGAACCAGUGUGACCCCGAACUUCGUCCGGCUUUGAAGUCGUAUCCAGUCCGACUGCGGCCAGUUAAUCGAGUUGGGAGAAAGAAGAGCUCCAGUAAAGCUGAGAGCUUUAACGUAAAAGCUGCAGGGCUGGGAUCCCACAGGGAUAUACCCCGACCUCCAGAGGCCGCGAGAAGCCGUGAGAAGCCGCGAGAAGCCGCGAGAAGCCGCGAGAAGCCGCGAGAAGCCAAAGUCGCGAGCUCGAGGGGCUCCACAGUUACCUGUGUCUGGUUGCUCGUCGCUCUUGGGCUCCUUGGGUUCCCUCUUCUGUCUCCAGACCCAUGAAGAGAUAAACCUGAGACAUACUACAAUUUCAAGAGUUUAUGUGAACAAAAAUUGAAUCGAAUGGAGCAACCUCCAAUCUAGCAGAUAGAAAGGAGCUAUGAGGGGCACAAAGACGUUACUUUACAAGCAAAAAAGCAGGAGAAGAAAUUGUGAACUUCCCUAGAAUGGAUGGAAAGAGAAAGCAGGAGCAGACACCUCUCCAAUCUGACCUAUGCACCCUUGAGAGUCCUAUGUUGUCUGACAGAAAAGCCACGUGGGAAGACUUGAUGCUCUUUAUGAUGCCUGGUGCAGCCCUGACACUAGCCACUGAGGUUACAUGUAAUUAUCCACACAUCCUUUCAGAAUAAGUGCCUCUGCCCCUAGCAUACCUGCCAGAUGAAAGGAAAUCAAGACAUUGGCCUAUCUCUGAGAACCAUCUCUGUGGAGACAACAGAAGGUGAAAUACAGAGGAGAACACACACAAGAAAGCAAGACAACCCAUUCCUUUCUGUUGCAUGACUACACUUACGUGAUGCUCGUGUGGAAGUAUGUGCAGACUACAUAGUGGCUCAGUCUCUGGGGGGAGGCAGGAGCCACCAGCUGCACAGAGUAGGAUGCCGGCUUCCCUUGGUAGAGGACCAAGAGGAUCUCUCUGUCUUUGCCAUCAUCAUCACCAACACAUCUGUCAUGUAUUGUUUUCUCGCCUUGUCUGAAUUUGCCAUGCUAUUUCCUCGAGCCCUUGAAUUAAGUACAAGCUGGCUUGGGAACUCCAAGGCAUCCAUGAAAAUGGCGUCCAUGAAAAUGGCUUAGAAUUUUCUGCAGGAAACUUAACACUCCAGGAGUUUGACAUUCCAAAGGUUUGGAACUAUCCACCAACUGUUGGGUGUUCCUGAGAACCAUGUGGUUGCUCAAGAAAUUUCUGUUCCCUCUGUGCCAACUUCCUUUUCCACAAGGGAGUGCCAUAUACCUCCAAGUCCUGUUCAGGGAGAGAACUGGAAAAACAGUGAGACCAAGUGACUCACUUGAGAAGAACAAGCAGAGGGUAGUGCUAAGGAAUCAGACUCUUACUUUAUUGUAAAGUCCAGCCACUUACUUUGCUUUUUAACAAUCUUGAGUGACAUUGAAUAAAAGAUACCAU